rnacentral:rRNA from 1 species
UCAUGCAAGUCGAGCGAACGGACGAGAAGCUUGCUUCUCUGAUGUUAGCGGCGGACGGGUGAGUAACACGUGGAUAACCUACCUAUAAGACUGGGAUAACUUCGGGAAACCGGAGCUAAUACCGGAUAAUAUUUUGAACCGCAUGGUUCAAAAGUGAAAGACGGUCUUGCUGUCACUUAUAGAUGGAUCCGCGCUGCAUUAGCUAGUUGGUAAGGUAACGGCUUACCAAGGCAACGAUGCAUAGCCGACCUGAGAGGGUGAUCGGCCACACUGGAACUGAGACACGGUCCAGACUCCUACGGGAGGCAGCAGUAGGGAAUCUUCCGCAAUGGGCGAAAGCCUGACGGAGCAACGCCGCGUGAGUGAUGAAGGUCUUCGGAUCGUAAAACUCUGUUAUUAGGGAAGAACAUAUGUGUAAGUAACUGUGCACAUCUUGACGGUACCUAAUCAGAAAGCCACGGCUAACUACGUGCCAGCAGCCGCGGUAAUACGUAGGUGGCAAGCGUUAUCCGGAAAUUUUUGGGGGGAAAAGGGG